rnacentral:rRNA from 1 species
GCUGGGGGAUAACCUCGCGAAAGUGAGAACAAUACCCCAUGGGUCACUAUGCCUGGAACGGUUAGUGGCUGAAAGCUCCGGCGGCACAGGAUGGGUCUGCGGCGUAUCAGGUCGUAGGGGGUGUAACGUACCUCCUAGCCUUCGACGCGUACGGGUUGUGAGAGCAAUUGCCCGGAGAUGGAUUCUGAGACACGGACCCAGGCCCUAUGGGGCGCAGCAGGCGCGAAAACUUGACAAUGCGAGAAAUCGUGAUCAGGGGACUCCAGUUGGCUGGAUCAAAAGUCCAGUCUGAACCGACUUUAAAUCGGUCGGGUAAUAGGGGCGGGAAAGACCGGUGCCAGCCGCCGCGGUAAUACCGGCGCCCCAAGUGGUCGUCACUAUUAUUGGGCCUAAAACGUCCGUAGCCGGUUUGGUAAAUCCGUGGGUAAAUCAGACAGCCCAACUGUCUGAAUUCUGCGGGGACUGCCAGACUUGAGACCGGGGGAGGUGCGGGGUACCUGCGGGGUACCGGUAAAAUGGGAUCAUCCCGUAGAGACCACCUGUUGCGAAGGCGCCGCACUAGAACGGAUCUGACGGUCAGGGACGAAGCCUAGGGGCACGAACCGGAUUAGAUACCCGGGUAGUCCUAGGUGUAAACGCUGUGGACUUGGUGUCGGGGACCUUCUGAGGGUUUCCGGUGCCGGAGUGAAGAUGUUAAGUCCACUGCCUGGGGAGUACGGUCGC